CUUCUACAGGUGGUUUAGGUUUUCUCAUUUCAGCUGAUUGAAUGGCUCCUUCAUCUGGAGGUUUACUUCAUGUGGAUACAAAGUCUAAUGGCAUGAGUGGAGUCGGAAAAAGUUUCUUUUGCUGUGAACAAUAAUAAUGCUACAAUUGAAAUUCUAAGUGGAUCGAACUAUAAGAGAUGGAGAUCAAACAUAGAGUUUGUUUUAGGAAUGAUGGACUUGGACAUGGCUCUACGUGAAGAUGAACCUCCUAAGCCUACUAAUGAAAGCACUAAAGCUAUGAGAGCUCAUUCUGUGAAAUGGGAAAGAUCGAACCGUUUGAGUCUCAUUUCAAUCAAGAGGUCUAUUGCUGAGCAUCUCCUUGGAGGAAUACUUGAGAGCAACAAUGCUAAGGAAUUUCUCGUUGUUGUGGGAAAUAGAUACCAAACAUCUGACAAUGCUGAAGCUGGGUAUUUUAUGGAUGAAUUGAUGAAUAUGAGGUAUAAUGAUAUGAAAGGGGUUCAUGAGUAUAUCCUAAAAAUAGUGCAUCUUUAGACUAAAUUGAAAGCACUAGACAUUCCCAUUCCCGAUAAGUUUAUUGUUCAUCAAACCCUCAAUACUCUACCAUCUUCUUUCAGCCAAAUCAAGAUUGCAUACACCACCUUGAAUCGGUCUUGGGGUGUGAAUGACCUGAUCGCUAAGUGUGUGACUGAGGAAGAAAAGCUGGAAAGAGAAAAGAAUGAAUCUGCUCAUCUCGUUGCUCUUGGAAAACCGAAUAAUCAGAAGAGAGUUGAAAAGGCUAGAAAGCCCAACUUCCACAGUCAUAAGAAAAGCAAGAAUUCAAAGAAGAGUGAGAGUGAGAAGUAGAAGAAUGGAAAUGAAAAUGCCAAGAACACAAACCUUAAGUGCUAUCACUGCAACAAAAAGAGUCACAAGAGGGUUGAUUGCUUUAAGUUUAAGAAUUGUCUAGAGAAGAAAAAGAAGGAACAUAGGGAUAAGAAAUCUGAGGAAGCCAAGUGAAAAAGAGUCAAAGCUUAAAGUUGGCAGUGACAUCGGGAUUGAUGUUGAACAUAUUGGGAUUACUGUUUUAGAAUUAGAUUCUGGUUUUCAGCUUGUUUUAGACAAUGUUUUUUUGUGUACAUUCGUUUAGAAGGAAUUUAAUUUCCCUUUAAGUACUUGACAAAGCUGGAUAUAGUUUCACUUUUGCAAAUAAAAGAGUUGAAGUGAUUUAUGACUCUAAA